CAGCCCCUUCUCUGGUCACUCAGGGAACAGAAAACUACUCAUCCAGUGACCAGCCCUCUACCAGACUCCUGUACCCCACUGGUCUGGGUCUGUCGCAGAAGAUAGCUGGAGAGUGAAUCCUGAACUACAGCUCUCCCAGCCCCGAAAUGUGCUACUCUGUGCUAACCUAAGGGCUUUCCAGUGCUGCAUUCCAGUUGACUAAUAAGCCCUACUCUUGUUUUGAAGAGGCUGUCGGGUGUCACUGCAAAUACUUACUAAGGUGCAUGGAUCCCUGAAGAGUGUAAAAGUCUCUGACCAGGAGUCUUUCUCAGUUGGACUGACUGGGUAGAACUUAUGGUGCAAAACAGAGGCUCAGUCUCGGACGUGUUGAAGCUGUGUGCCCUGCCCUUAAGGAAGGGUGGGACCCCUUGGGGGUCUGCAUUCUGAAGGGAUUCCUCCAAGGGACUGUUUAAAAGCUGGGACAUAGCAUAGAUCCUGUGUAUCCAUGACAGAGAGCAGCAAUAUGUGUUUCAACUUCUGGAUUUUCCAAAGACUGUUAAGGUCUUCCAGGGAAAGUCAUGUCAGGAUCUGAUAUUUGAAACACAAAACAAAAUUUUGUGCGGGACAAAGCAGAAACUAGCAGGUGGCCUUUCCUGUUCAUCCAGGUGUAACAGAAAAAGCAAGAAACAAAGUAGGGUUUGAUUUGCAGUUCCCCUUUGAAGGGGCUAUCAGUGCUGCGAUUGUUUAGUGUCUCUCUAGAACUCCAUUUGCUGAUUAAGUGGUUCCCUGGCUGUUACAGACAAGCACCUCCAGUAGAUGCACAUCGAGAUGUGACUUGAAUAUUUUGCAUGUCUGUGAUUCCUCUCCCCCUUCAGAAGAUAUUCUUGAGUCCAUAGCAACAUUCAUUUGCAUUUUGUUUCUAUUUGAAUCCAUUAUUUCAAGUCUCUUAAUUAAGUAAUGAGAAUAGUUUUUCUUCCUCCUCUUUUUAGUAUUCCUUAUGUCUGCAGCCAUCCCUCCUCAAACUGUGAUGACAACACAUCUCAUAACUUAACCAGAAGCAGGCUGGGUCACCAUUAGCACUUGGACGGGAGAUCUCGGGAAACCCUAAAUACUGCAGAAAGUGGCGUUUGUGCCUGGGAUUUGUCCCACUGAAGUGGAAGUUCUGAUGAGCAGACUGCAGCACACCUUCAAACAAGAGCUGAGUGGAGUUGGGGCUAGCCUGGAGAAAAGAUGGAAAUUUUGUGGCUUUGAUGGACUGAAAAUGACUUGAAUUUUCAGCUUGAUUGGCUUUGGUCAUUGAAAAUAAUGACAGACUAUGUACCUCAGACAAACCUAGGAUGUUACUCUAACCUACAUGUACAAUGGUUUUCAUGAAUAAAUUAUAGAUUCUUUUAUGGAAUAUCCCAUGACUGAAAUCACAAAUGUAAGACAGCACCUAGCAGGAGACUCAUGGAAGAAAUUCAAAUGAAUCCCAGGUGCUGUAACUUUUUUGUUCAGUUGUCUUUUGUCUUAUACUUAAGUACUGUCCAACAUGUUCUAUGAACAAACUCUUUGCUACUGUUUGACUUUUUGAUAUAUUUUAAACCCAGCUAGCUAACUAACUGUUUUGACAAUUUGUAUGUGUUUUGUGUCCCCAAUCUCUCUCACCAUGCAUGUUUUUGCUGUUGAGAGCAGCCAUACACUAUAAUAUGGAAUAGCAAAAAAGAGACUUUCUGGCUUCUAGCAUUAACAGAAGGGGAAAAAAUCAGUAUUUUAUACAAUUAUAUGCUAGAAAUUCUGCACAUUUUAAAAGAGAAGAGGAGGUUUAUAUGACUUUGCAAAAUGCUUAUGAGCCUAAAGGUCACUUACUUUACAAAGCUAUUUUCUCUACUAUAUCAGAUAUGAGACUUUUUCAGAUUUAAAAGCAAACCUAGAUUAAAGCCAGUGUCAUGGCAGCAACACAGUGUGACGUGUCCACCCUGUGCGGAAUCACUUUGUAAAUAAUCUGAUUUUAAAGGGGAAGGGUAUUUAAUUUUCUAUACAGCUGGGAAACAAGAGUCCUAGUAAAUGCCUGUAUUUUAAUAGUGACCUCUCCUUUGGGUUUACCAUUGUCUGUCUUUCGUUGCCUUUGUCUUGCUGAACUGUGGAAGAACUGCUGCUGCAAGGGUCAUAAACAGAGCAUUUCCCUCCUCUUGAAUGUUUCUAAAGAGUGGAUCUGUGUAUUCAUAGCAAACUGUGAACUGCUCAAACCAUGGACAGGGAUUCCUGAGAUAUGGGGAGACAUGAGAACACAACCUCCAUUUACAAACAGUGCCUAUUGCACACACGUCCUGCCAGACACCGCCCCAUUGGCAUGGUUGUGUACUCCGUGUCAUUUCAUGUGAAGAUGGAGACAACUAAUGGAACUGUUCUCUUCAGAUCUGCUCUGUGAGAUUCAGGCUGCGUUGGCCUGUGGUGCUUUGGGGUGUGGGUCACUCGCUCUCACGAGUCUAGUGCUUGUGCUGACUAAGCAGAAAGCAGGUGGAAAGCAUUUCAGGGAACUUGUAAACGCCCAUGUCACAGCUGUUGAAAGUUGUAUUUUUUAAAAAUAAAACUUUUUUACAUCCUA